rnacentral:rRNA from 1 species
GUAGGGAAUAUUGGACAAUGGCUGAAAAGCUGAUCCAGCCAUCCCGCGUGAAGGCAGAAGGUCCUAUGGAUUGUAAACUUCUUUUCUCUGGGAAGAAAAGGCGGGUUUCUACCUGCUCUGACGGUACCAGAGGAAUAAGCACCGGCUAACUCCGUGCCAGCAGCCGCGGUAAUACGGAGGGUGCAAGCGUUAUCCGGAUUCACUGGGUUUAAAGGGUGCGUAGGCGGGCUUGUAAGUCAGUGGUGAAAGCCCGGGGCUUAACUCCGGAACUGCCGUUGAUACUGCAAGCCUUGAGUACGGUUGAGGUGGGCGGAAUACAUCAUGUAGAGGUGAAAUUCUUAGAUAUGAUGUAGAACACCGAUUGCGAAGGCAGCUCACUAAAGCGUAACUGACGCUGAGGCACGAAAGCGUGGGGAUCAAACAGGAUUAGAAACCCUAGUAGUCC